rnacentral:lncRNA from 1 species
AAAUCAAAGCAGCGUGAAAGCACGGGCUCAUUGGCCAGUACCUGCCAAUUUCCUUCUCUCCUAGAGUCUUUUCCUGUUAACGAGAGAGUCAGAUCCUAUGCUCCCAUUCAUGUGUAAGUGGAAAAGUACAGCCAGUAGCCAUGCCUCCCAGUAAACCCACGAGACCGGAAGUGUGGGAGACCUUCCCAAACCAGUGCUGCUCUGGGCCAGGCUGGCUUUCAGCCCAGGAGCCCCAAGUGGGCUAGGGUGCAGGUCUUCACAUGAGCGGGGCACUCAGGCCUGUGUGUUGAUUUGAAAAAUUUCCCUGGAGGACCCGUGAGUAGUUCCAUAAAUACUUUUUUUGGCAACCUGGGACAGAUUUAAGCCACUAUAAAAAGGGGAAUCAGACUGAUUUUAUUUAAGCCAACACGUUGAAACUGAGAAUGACGGCCCCCUGAGGAAUAUACACAGGAGAAGGUGAUUAACUAGGUGUUACCUUUGAGUGGUUUGGGCCAAGUGACAGUUGCAUGGCAAGCAGAAUUUGUCCUCACGGCGGCGCUGGGUGUCUGACAUGGAGGAGGCAGGGGUUUGACCGGACAUAUGAGAGCCUUGAUCUAAUUUCAGCAUUACCCUCUGGAGAUGAUGGAAGGAUACAGGUGACUUUGAAGUCCAACCAGUUCUGUCUUCAGCCAUGUUCUAUCCUCAGGACCCAGCUACACUGCAGGCCUGGCAAAUGGCAGAUGUUUGACAGGACAGUGAGGCCAGGAGAAUGAGAAGGAGGGGGUCAUACCCACAUCCUUAGGAAAACUGGCCAGACGUGGGCUUCUCAGCAUAGGUAAGGAGCUGGGUGGGGGGUGGGGGGUGUGGGGAGAAGGGAGGGAGGAGGGGAGAAGAAGGCUGCUGGUUCCAGAAGGUUCCAACACCAUCAGAAUCUGCAUCCUCUUCCGAGGACCGGAUUUCUGCCGCACUGUUUUAUGUGAAUUAGGAUGAGCAAUGAGAGACAAUUUCAGCCCAAACCCAGAGUCAGUAACUAGUCUAUUGAAACGUUAAAGUUUCUCAGGGUGAGACCCAGCUGGGUGGCAAAGUCCCUGGGUUCCUAAGUGACAGAAACUAAAAAAGAAGAAGGAAAGAUGCAAUGACAAUAAGUAACUAGAAUAACACUCUUGAGAGUCCCUUGGACAGCAAGGAGAUUAAACCAGUCAGUCCUAGAGGAAAUCAACCUCGAAUAUUCAUUGGAAGGACUGAUGCUGAAGCUGAAG